CAAAAGGUAGUUUAUGAAAAAUAAUAGUUUUGGAUACUGUUGAAAAGUGCGGCACUUUCUUUUGAGC
rnacentral:tRNA from 1 species